GACGAACGCUGGCGGCGUGCUUAACACAUGCAAGUCGAACGGAAAGGCCCCUUUGGGGGUACUCGAGUGGCGCACGGGUGAGUAACACGUGAGUAACCUGCCCUUGACUUCGGGAUAACUUCAGGAAACUGGGGCUAAUACCGGAUAGGAAUCCUUGCUGCAUGGUGGGGGUUGGAAAGCUUCGGCGGUUUUGGAUGGACUCGCGGCUUAUCAGCUUGUUGGUGGGGUAGUGGCUUACCAAGGCUUUGACGGGUAGCCGGCCUGAGAGGGCGACCGGCCACAUUGGGACUGAGAUACGGCCCAGACUCCUACGGGAGGCAGCAGUGGGGAAUAUUGCACAAUGGGCGGAAGCCUGAUGCAGCAACGCCGCGUGCGGGAUGACGGACUUCGGGUUGUAAACCGCUUUCAGCAGGGGCGAAGCUUGUGGUGACGGUACCUGCAGAAGAAGCACCGGCUAACUACGUG
rnacentral:rRNA from 1 species